rnacentral:misc_RNA from 1 species
GAUGAAGAACGUAGUGAAAUGCGAUAAGUAAUGUGAAUUGCAGAAUUCAGUGAAUCAUCGAAUCUUUGAACGCACAUUGCGCCCGCCAGUAUUCUGGCGGGCAUGCCUGUUCGAGCGUCAUUACAACCCUCAGGCCCCCGGGCCUGGCGUUGGGGAUCGGCGGAGCCCCCCGUGGGCACACGCCGUCCCCCAAAUGCAGUGGCAGUCCCGCCGCAGCUUCCAUCGCGUAGUAGCUAACACCUCGCGACUGGAGAGCGGCGCGGCCACGCCGUAAAACACCCAACUCUUCUGAAGUUGACCUCGAAUCAGGUAGGAAUACCCGCUGAACUUAAGCAUAUCAAUAAGCGGAGGA